rnacentral:rRNA from 1 species
UACAGAGGUCCCGAGCGUUUGUUCGGAUUCAUUGGGCGUAAAGGGUGCGUAGGCGGCGGGGCAAGUCUGAUGUGAAAUCCCGGGGCUCAACCCCGGAACUGCAUUGGAUACUGCCUUGCUUGAGUACUGGAGAGGGAACUGGAAUUUACGGUGUAGCAGUGAAAUGCGUAGAGAUCGUAAGGAAGGCCAGUGGCGAAGGCGAGUUCCUGGACAGUGACUGACGCUGAGGCACGAAGGCCAGGGGAGCAAACGGG